rnacentral:rRNA from 1 species
UACUGUGGCCAAACCUCCGUGUCAAAGCCUCACCUCAUCAGACCUCAGAAGCUAAGCAGGACUGGGCUUGGUUAGUGCUUGGAUGGGAGACUGUUGGCACAAAAUGCAACGUCUUCUCGGUAA